rnacentral:lncRNA from 1 species
CUUCUCUUGGAUUUAUUUACAAUCAAGAAGCAGCAAUUCUCGCCGUUAAUCACGCUCUUCGUGAUCCCUUCGUGUAAGUGCACCCUCCGUUCUUAUGGGCUGUCUUCGUCCUCCUCGUCACGCUCUGCCAUACAAAUUCUCCGUCGUCGUCUCUGUAAAUUCUUUCUUUUCUUUUCUUCUCAGCUUUGAUCCUGACUUGUUAAAU